GUGCUCGGUUCAACAGCACAUAUACUAAAAUUGGAAUGAUACAGAAAAAAUAAGUAUGGCCCCUGUGUAAGGAUGACAUGCAAAUUCGUGAAGCAUUCCAUAUUUUU